rnacentral:miRNA from 1 species
UCUCACUGCUCCUCUUUCCUCA